UUUGACCUCAAAUCAAGUAGGACUACCCGCUGAACUUAAGCAUAUCAAUAA
rnacentral:rRNA from 2 species